rnacentral:rRNA from 1 species
UACGUAGGGCCCGAGCGUUGUCCGGAAUUAUUGGGCGUAAAGAGCUCGUAGGCGGUUUGUCGCGUCUGCUGUGAAAUCCCGAGGCUCAACCUCGGGUCUGCAGUGGGUACGGGCAGACUGGAGUGCGGUAGGGGAGAAUGGAAUUCCUGGUGUAGCGGUGGAAUGCGCAGAUAUCAGGAGGAACACCGAUGGCGAAGGCAGUUCUCGGGGCCGUAACUGACGCUGAGGAGCGAAAGCGUGGGGAGCGAACAGG